rnacentral:rRNA from 1 species
CCUACGGGAGGCAGCAGUGGGGAAUAUUUCACAAUGGGGGAAACCCUGAUGCAGCGACGCCGCGUUAGCGAGGAAGUAUUUCGGUAUGUAAAGCUCUAUCAGCAGGGACGAAAAAAGACGGUACCUGACUCAGAAGCCCCGGCUAACUACGUGCCAGCAGCCGCGGUAAUACGUAGGGGGCAAGCGUUAUCCGGAUUUACUGGGUGGAAAGGGAGCGUAGACGGCAAGGCAAGCCAGAAGUGAAAGGGCAGGGCUCAACCCUGUACAUGCUUUUGGAACUGUGGUGCUAGAGUGCAGGAGAGGUAAGUGGAAGUCCUAGUGUAGCGGUGAAAUGCGUAGAUAUUAGGAGGAACACCAGUGGCGAAGGCGGCUUACUGGACUGUAACUGACGUUGAGGCUCGAAAGCGUGGGGAGCAAACAGGAUUAGAUACCCCUGUAGUC